rnacentral:lncRNA from 1 species
GGAAAUUUCCAGACAUGAGUCCAGCGCGUGAUCGGGAGCGCGCCUUUCUUGUUUCUCCUUUUCUGUUGACGAAGCUUUUGUCCGGUUGAAAUAUUAUUGAUUAUUUAUGACAAAAACAACCUGAGGAUUGAUUUUAAACAUGUUUGACAUGUUUCUACGAACUUUUAUUUUACUUUUUUGACUUUUCAUCUGGGUGUUGAGAGCGCGCUUUGUGCCUUUGGAUUACUGAACUAAACGCACCAACAAAAUUGAGGUUUUUGGACAUAAAGAGGGACAUUAUUGAACAAAACAAACAUUUAUUGUGUAACAUGGAGUUCUGGGAGUGCCACCAGAUGAAGAUCAUCAAUGGACCUGAGCCCUAGGACCAUGCCUCAGGACUACCUGGCAUGAUGACUCCUUGCUGUUCCCAGUCCACCUGGCCGUUGUGCUGCUCCAGUUUCAACUGUUCUGCCUGCGGCUAUGGAACCCUGACCUGUUCACCGGACGUGCUUGUUGCACCCUCGACAACUACUAUGAUUAUUAUUAUUUGACCAUGCUGGUCAUUUAUGAACAUUUUAACAUCUUGACCAUGUUCUGUUAUAAUAUCCACCCGGCACAGCCAGAAGAGGACUGGCCACCCCUCAUAGCCUGGUUCCUCUCUAGGUUUCUUCCUGGGUUUUUGGCCUUUCUAGGGAGUUUUUCCUAGGGAGUUUUUCCUA